UGCAGUCGAGGGGUAUAGGUUUUCGGACCUAGAGACCGGCGCACGGGUGCGUACACUCGUAUGCAAUCUACCUUUUACAGAGGGAUAGCCCAGAGAAAUUUGGAUUAAUACCUCAUAGUAUUAUUGAAUGGCAUCAUUUAAUAAUUAAAGUCACAACGGUAAAAGAUGAGCAUGCGUCCCAUUAGCUUGUUGGUAAGGUAACGGCUUACCAAGGCAACGAUGGGUAGGGGUCCUGAGAGGGAGAUCCCCCACACUGGUACUGAGACACGGACCAGACUCCUACGGGAGGCAGCAGUGAGGAAUAUUGGUCAAUGGGCGCAAGCCUGAACCAGCCAUGCCGCGUGCAGGAUGAAGCAUCUAUGGUGUGUAAACUGCUUUUGUACGAGAAGAAACACUCCUACGUGUAGGAGCUUGACGGUAUCGUAAGAAUAAGGACCGGCUAACUCCGUGCCAGCAGCCGCGGUAAUACGGAGGGUCCAAGCGUUAUCCGGAAUCAUUGGGUUUAAAGGGUCCGUAGGCGGUUUUGUAAGUCAGUGGUGAAAGCCCAUCGCUCAACGGUGGAACGGCCAUUGAUACUGCAAGACUUGAAUUAUUGGGAAGCAACUAGAAUAUGUAGUGUAGCGGUGAAAUGCUUAGAUAUUACAUGGAAUACCAAUUGCGAAGGCAGGUUGCUACCAAUACAUUGACGCUGAUGGACGAAAGCGUGGGGAGCGAACAGGAUUAGAUACCCUGGUAGUCCACGCCGUAAACGAUGGAUACUAGCUGUUCGGAGCAAUCUGAGUGGCUAAGCGAAAGUGAUAAGUAUCCCACCUGGGGAGUACGUUCGCAAGAAUGAAACUCAAAGGAAUUGACGGGGG
rnacentral:rRNA from 1 species